rnacentral:lncRNA from 1 species
UUAGAAGUUGGGAGAAAUGACUAGUCAUGUAUAUCAAUUCUUAGUUUAAAAAAGAAGUUAAAGUAACUAAAAAAAUAUGUGAUUUAAAAGGACAAGAAAGAAAAAGUGAGAAAAGGGAGGAAGUGUUGAAAAAGAAGCUAAAGCCAGAAUGUACGAUUACUCAAGGUGAGCCACAGUUUGGCUCUGAGAUGUGGAACAGCCAGAGCAAGCAUGAGAACUGCGUGGUUUGCAAUGAUCCCAAGAUUAAAAAUAAGCCAAACGGUCAGAAAUCUCCUUCCUUAGAGAAAGCUUUGACAGAGAGAACCAAGUCUUCGUGGUGCCUUCCAGGGGCAAGUACAAGUAGCCUGAGAAUCAAAGCUGGACACCUUGUGGCCAGAGAUACUAAGAGCUAGAUGUGGUGCCCCGGCAGUAGCAACAUGGACCACGAGGACCUUCCCAGAUGCCAAUGUGAUGGGUAGCACCACAAGGACCACACAGGAACCUCCUCUGAGCCGGGAGAGGACUCACAAACAGGCCCAGUGGGAGUGUCUAUGGUACCUCAUCUCAUGCAGCAAAUUUGAGCUGCUCCUCUUCGUGGGGAAAAAGUGGCCCCAUGCGUGCUGUGAUGGAAGACUUUGAGACCGAAACCCCAGAUGUGGAAAUGUCCAUAAUUCUGGUCAGCAAACCCACAUCUAGGCCUUGUCACGUGAAACACACACAUUUGGGCCAUGAUUGUGAAGAACGCAAAUCGCAGUCUUUCCCUUUGGUGGCCUUGUUCUGCCCUUUACAAGAUAAUCUUCCCCUGUGGGCCUGGACCAGAGAUAUGUUGUCAGUUCACUUUAAACUAGUGCUACAAGAAUCACCCACCCAAACAGCCGACUUUCAUUCACCCCUGGUAAAGGACCAGGAGAAGCAGAGUUCCUGACAUUACUGAGGACUUGUUGACGAUGCAAGUCAUGGACAGCCCACCUGUCUCCAGCUCCUGGGAAGCAAUAGGCCAGUGAGGAAUGCAGAAUUCUGGUGGUCAGCUGACAGUGGGAAAACUGACUGCCAGAUCAAAUAACAAGAUAAACACUGAGCACGGUCCACUCUGCCAGCACUGCCCACAGUAGGGUUGGGAAAUGUCUUCUCCCAUGAUGGGG